UUUAAUGCUCUGUUAUAUGUGGGGGGAAGGGCUGUGGAAAUGAAACCUAAACCCUGUGUUCAGACAGUCAAAUCGAAUGUUUACCAAAAUUCAGAACACCCAAGAUAGAAUAACUUCCACAUUACACAGAGAAACUAUACAACACGUCAAGUGGAACCUGUCAUCUCUGAUAUUUGCUUAAAAGCUAAAUGUUUGUCUGCCUGCUUUUGUUACAUUCUGACUAUAUUAUUAUAUUAUUACUUUGUACGGAACCAGAACUACCAAGAUGACAUCUUGUUUUUUCAGGAGCUCGCGGACGACUUGAAUGCUCAUCAGUCUUAGCAUGUGACCGGGACGCAAGAGGCAGAAAUCAGGAGACAACACAUGUUACUUCAUCAGUUGGUUGGUUUAUUUAUCAUUAGCAAUGACACCAAAUGUACUCUACUGUUUUCACUUGCUAUCAUAGGAGAUGCAUUUUUGAAUUGUAAACAGUGAAAAUGAUAAAAUGCAUUUCAGAAAAAACUCCUUACAAGCAGUGUAUGACCAGGGAAGAGAGCAGAUUGUACCUGCUCUUGCUCACCUAUUUUAUUUUUAUUUUUUUUUUAACAAUACAUCUCAUCUUAUAGUUUUUGAGUCUCUCAUAUUUACAUAGAUACAGCCAGGUCCCACGUUCUUCACCAGCAGAGACCUAUUGGCUUUUUGUUUUUUGUUUGUUUUUAAUGUGUUAUCACAUAGUUUUCUUAAAGAAUUAUAUUUACAACCAUAACGCGCCCCGGCUGCCUGCUGCCGGGGGUUUAAACACACAGUUAGAAUCACUUGCUUAAAAUUCGUUAAACUACUUAUGUUUCUUGAAAGUUUUGCGUUGUAAGUCAACCUUAUAGCUCUACGUUUUUUGUAUUUUUUUUUUGUCUUCUCUUAACAAAUAAAGUUAAUACAGAGCUCAAGCCAUUCGUCUUUUUCCCCCCAUAAAAAUUCAAAAAUUAUCCAAAUAAAUGAACAUAAUAAUAAUAAAAUAAAAUAAGAAAAUUAAAAAAAAAAAAAAA